CAAAUCCAAACAACAAAUACCCGUUGAAAUGUUCUCGGCCUUGGUUGUUGCAUGCGCAUGUAUCUUCGUAUACAUGCAUAUGCAUGCUGUGUAAAAAUGGAAGUGUUGUCACUUCCACCCAAGGUCCGGUAUUUAAAAAACAACGAUACUUAUUAUGGCCAUACUUAAUGUGUGACUACAAAA
rnacentral:misc_RNA from 1 species